AAUUCUCAACCUCACCGGUUUUCUGAACCGUUCUUCGAGGCUUGGAUGUGGGGGUUUGUGCAGGUCGCCUCAGCGCGGUCUGCUCCCCUGAAAUGCAUUAGCGAGAUUCAUUCUGGACCUCCGUCUAUCGGUGUGAUAAUUAUCUACGUCGUUGACUUGGUUCGGACUCGCUUCUAACCGUCCGCGAGGACAACAUACUUGACA
rnacentral:misc_RNA from 1 species